rnacentral:rRNA from 1 species
UAAAAUUUUAUUUUUUAUCAGUAGGUAUUGCAUACCGUUUAAAGAAAAUUUUAUAUAAAUAAAAUAUAGAAUUAAAAGGUAGAAUUUUUAUUAUUUUUAUUGUUUCAUAAUAAAAAUUAUAAAAUUUAGGGUUGAAAAGUCGACUUUUAAGAUAUCUGUUUGGUUUGUAAAUUAUUAGAAAUUUAUAUAAAAAAGAAAUUUUUAUAUAAAAAGUAAAAGUUGAAGUAUUUGUUUGGUUAGUUUUAUAACUGUUUAUAAUUGUUUUUAAAUUAAAUGUUAAAAGUGAUAAUAAUAAAUUAUUAAGUUAGUAAUAAUUAGAUUAUUUUGAAAUAAGUAUUUAAGUUAAAUUAUUUAUUGUUUUAUAAUUUAAUAAAAUAACUAAAAAUUCAAUCAAAUGUUUUUUAAAGACUUAGACUUUUAUCUAAAGUUUGCUUCUGCCCAAUGAUUAUUAUUAAAUGGCACUCUUAGCGU